rnacentral:rRNA from 1 species
GUGGGGAAUUUUCCGCAAUGGGCGAAAGCCUGACGGAGUGACGCCGCGUGUGGGACGAAGGCCUUCGGGUCGUAAACCACUGUCAGUGGGAAAGAUGGGUGUCGGAGCGAUAACCUCCGGCACUUGACGGUACCUGCAGAGGAAGCCCCGGCUAACUCUGUGCCAGCAGCCGCGGUAAGACAGAGGGGGCAAGCGUUGCUCGGAAUUACUGGGCGUAAAGGGCGCGUAGGCGGGAUGGCAAGUCGGUCGUGAAAUACCUCGGCUCAACUGAGGAGCGUCGAUCGAUACUGCCGUUCUUGAGGGUUGCAGAGGAGACUGGAAUUCCCGGUGUAGCGGUGAAAUGUGUAGAGAUCGGGAGGAACACCGGUGGCGAAGGCGGGUCUCUGGGCAACUCCUGACGCUGAGGCGCGAAAGCGUGGGGAGCAAACGGGAUUAGAAACCCGUGUAGUCC